UUCUACUAGCUUGUAAGCCGGGAAUUGGAGGGCAAUCGAUGCGAAGGAGGAAUGGUUCCGCAGGUGGAGAAGAACUCGACUCGACUCGACUCGACCCGACUCGAUUCGACUCGACUCGAUCGCAGGUGGAAAACCGGAAAAUUCUCUCUUUUCGAUCGAGCAAUACUCGACGUUUCAUUAUCGAGUCUCGUCCGAUCGAAACGAAACUAUUUGAAAAAGAAAACAAAAGAAGAGAAAGAAAAAUGCCAUAUCGCGAUACCGAAUUCCGCAUACCUGAGCGCGAUGAAAUCCACGACUGAAAACCGGAUGCACAUGGAAGGUGAGGCGUGUUUGCGAGUAAACACUUCUUCAACUGGCAACACCAGACGACAAGCCAGAGCCACGGAAUGGCUCUCCGAGAUUAGAUAACAGUUGGAACGCGUUUUGUGCCGUCGACUUGCUCAACGAGCAACGUCCUCGAGACGCGCGGAGAAUCCACGGUUGCAGCGGAUGAAACGGUAUAAAAGAUGUUCGACGUUUAUGGCGCGAGCAAAUGCUCAACGACGGGCACAAUGGACAAUAAAGAGGACGAACGCCUCUUUUUUUUUCUUUUUUUGACACGACUGCGUUUGCUCGUAAUUGAAUUACGAAGAAUGGUUAAGUUCGAUUUUCGAACAGUUUCUUUUGACGUGAUUUUCCUCUUGUGUAUUUAAUAUUGCUAUCGUUUUGAUGAGUAUUAUUUAUUAUUCGUGAUUUAAAUUCGAGUUUUCCUUUCUUUCUAACUAGUUUGGCAAUUUAAAUGUAUCUUGCGUUAAAACGAAUUAAAAUGAUGCGAGCGAAUCAUCUCAUAGGAGAGAAUCUAUCGACAAUGUCCACAUUGUAUUUUGUAAAAAUUUUAAAAUAAAUUUCUGAAAAAUUUGUAUCAAAAGAAAUUGAAAGUGAUAUUUAAAAAGAAGCGGAUUUCUUGGAAAUGAUUUCACAAUCGAAAGAAAUAAAUUGGUAAUAAAGAAUAAUGGGCUCGUCGAAGAAACUCGUGUUGGUGGUGAAGCGAAUCGACCGAGAGGUAAAUAAGUGUCAAAUAUGAAACUCGAGUCGAUAAGAGGAAGGAGCGAAGGUAUAGUUUCCUCGCAGAAAUAACAAUGCAAACGGCAAGCCAGGUAUCGUUAUUGCAUAGCUAAGCACCAGUAGUUGUUUGCAGGCGUGGAACAGCCGUUUGCAAGUCGACAAAGAGGUAUUGUUCAGUCAAGAGAUUCAUCUAGCUCUCGGUCGGUACUCUUCUAUUUACACGGCCUAACUCAACAUUAUGUCGCCAACUUCACGCAACUCCUCGAGACGUCGAAUCCCCUCCUCCUCUUCUCGAAAAUUCACUUCCGCCGUUUUGACAUCGCGCGUCACCCUCGUAACCUACUACUUCUUCCACCAGUUCUUGAAACCAUUUAAAAAAAAAUUACAGAUCGUAAUUUUUGAAAUGAAGAAGAAAGUAGAAAAAAAAAGAAUUAAUUCCGAAUUAAUUCUUCAUCGCUUACCAUCCGUGGAUAAGUGCAUCGUAUUUAUCAUUUUAUUUCUUCUUGAACCAGAUUUUUAACUCCUUUCAGAAUUUUUCCAGAUUUUUUUCCGAAAAAUCAGACCCAGAGGAAAAGAGUUCAGUUUAUCUAUCACGUGGAUCAAAAUAAAACAAAACAAAAAAAAGAAAAAUACUGGUAAACACGAAAUUCUACCUCCACAUAUUACCGUUAUUAAUUACUCAGAGAUAAAUCAUUCAAUAAACGAUGAGGUUAGGUCGCGAGAGCACUCGGCUUACGCAGCGAGUGCACAACACUUUAGAGGAAAAUAACUGGGUAAACGAAUCACAGGCACGAUGAUUUACGAGCGGAGGAUGGCUGGUUAUCCGGCAUGGAACAUAUGUUUCCAUGGCAAUAUAACAAUUAAUCAUUAACCAGCGCGAGAUAGCAAAGUAGUGACGUAACUUUUUCAAGACUUCGCCUCGAAACAACUUAUACCACGUACGCUCCAAGAGAGACGUUUAAACUCGGAUCAAUAAACGCCAACAAGUAUCUUCGAGACAGUUUCGAGCUCCCAUUUCUGUAUGCUUAGAACGAGACAAGUAUUUCCGAACAACGCACGUAGUUUGGAUCGAUCGACACUUGAUCCCCGAGAAAUCAGGGAUGCUUUAGAGCGAGCUUUAGAGUGACGGAGGGAAUUUUAGUCACAAGUUAUGUCUUGUGGCCAAGAUGGGAAGAAGAGGACGAGCGGAUUCGUUAUUAAUAAUGCAACUGUGAGAAAGACUCUACUUGUAAUCUUACAAAAUGAUAGAUCUCGAUUCAGUUUUAUCGAAAUUACUUGUACUCUAUGAACAAAAUUGACAACAGAGGAAAGGGUGGCAGCGAUGAAGCGAGAAAGAUGCAGUAGAAAGGCGUUGCUCUCGACGAAAUAAGAAUUUUAAAUAACAACUUUACGAAAUAUCGUUUAACCCUUCGACGAAUUUUUCAAUCGAGCCUAGAAACUCGAGAUGAUUUUGCGCAUAUUUAUAGUUUUAAUAAUAAUUCGAGAUGGAAUUGGAAAUUUAAAUCGUUCGAGUUGUCGCGAAUUUUAAUCAUCCUCAAAUCGUUAAAAAAUUUCGUCUCGAAUCGUUAGUUGGAAAGGGUUAAUAUGUAACCCUAUAAAUUCAAAAUCCAUUGAAUAAAAAUGAGAUAUAAAAAAAUAGCCAAGGUUAAUACGUAUAAUAAAUAUAAUUGUAUAAUAAAUAAAAUUGGAAGAAUUGCAAUAAAUAUAAAUAGUUUCGUCGAAUAAAAUAUAUUAAUCCAACAUACCAAAUACAACAACCAAAAAUUCUCGUCUGGAGUCGUUGGAAACCGAACCAAAAAUGGUAACACUGUAAGCCUAUAUCCAAAAAGUCCACUUGAAUAAAAGUAAGAUAUAAAAAAAUAGCCAAGAUAGGAUAAUAUGUAUAAUAAUAAAUACAAUUGGAUAUAAUAAAUACCUAAUAAAUAAAAUUGGAAGAAUUGCAAUAAAUAUAAAUAAUUUCGCCGAAUAGAAUAUAUUAACUUAAUUAAAAAGAAAAAGAAUUAACACUAUAACCCUAUAUCCAAAAAGUCUGUGUAUCCACUUGAAUAAAAAUAAAAUAUAAAAAAAUAGCCAAGGUUAAUACCUAUAAUAAAUAUAAUUGUAUAAUUGUAAGCCUGUAUCCAAAAAGUUCAUGUAUCCACUUGAAUAAAAAUAAGAUAUUAAAAAAGCUAGCCAAGCUAGGAUAACACGUAUAAUAAAUACAAUUGGUUAUAAUAAAUAAAAUUGAAAGAAUUGCAAUAAAUAUAAAUAGUUUCACAAAAU